CGACCCCUGCCGUGUUCGUGAUUGGAAGAUGUUCUUUGACCCAACAUUCAUAUUUAAGGGAGCUUUCACUGGUUUUGGUGAGCAGGUUCUGCUUGUACAGAAAAGCCUAAAGAAACUAUAAGGCGCCCACUUUGAGCCUUGGCUCAAAGACCUUCUAACACGGCUAUUUGGCGGGGGUCCU
rnacentral:other from 1 species